rnacentral:rRNA from 1 species
AUGGUGCUAGUGUCAGGGCAGCUUGCUGUUGGUGACGCAGCUAACGCAUUAAGCACCCCGCCUGGGGAGUACGGUCGCAAGAUUAAAACUCAAAGGAAUGACGGGGGGCCCGCACAAGCGGUGGAGCAUGUGUUUAAUUNGACGCAACGCGCAGAACCUUACCAACCCUUGACAUGUCUCGUAUGGUUUCCAGAGAUGGAUUCCUUCAGUUCGGCUGGCGAGAACACAGGUGUUGCAUGGCUGUCGUCAGCUCGUGUCGUGAGAUGUUGGGUUAAGUCCCGCAACGAGCGCAACCCUCGCCUUUAGUUGCCAUCAUUUAGUUGGGCACUCUAGAGGGACUGCCGGUGAUAAGCCGGAGGAAGGUGGGGAUGACGUCAAGUCCUCAUGGCCCUUACGGGUUGGGCUACACACGUGCUACAAUGGCGGCGACAAUGGGCAGCGAAGGGGCGACCCGGUGCAAAUCCCAAAAAGCCGUCUCAGUUCGGAUUGUACUCUGCAACUCGAGUGCAUGAAGGUGGAAUCGCUAGUAAUCGCGUAACAGCAUGACGCGGUGAAUGCGUUCCCGGGCCUUGUACACACCGCCCGUCACACCAUGGGAGUUGGUUUUACCCGAAGCUGGUGCGCUAACCGCAAGGAGGCAGCCAACCACGGUAAGGUCAGCGACUGGGGUGAAGUCGUAACAAGGUAGCCCUAGGGGAACCUGGGGCUGGAUCACCUCCUUAAGCUUGGAUCCCGGG